UGGCUCAGUAGUAGAGCGCUUGCCUUUCAUGCAUGAGGCCCUGGGUUCGAUUCCUCAG
rnacentral:tRNA from 1 species